GUCAGGAUGGCCGAGCGGUCCAAGGCGCUGCGUUCAGGUCGCAGUCCGGUCUUCCGGGCGUGGGUUCGAAUUCCACUUCUGGCA
rnacentral:tRNA from 1 species